rnacentral:rRNA from 1 species
GACGAACGCUGGCGGCGUGCCUAAUACAUGCAAGUCGAGCGAAGUUUUUCUGGUGCUUGCACUAGAAAAACUUAGCGGCGAACGGGUGAGUAACACGUAAAGAACCUGCCUCAUAGACUGGGACAACUAUUGGAAACGAUAGCUAAUACCGGAUAACAGUAUUUCUCGCAUGAGAGAUAUUUAAAAGUUGGUUAUGCUAACACUAUGAGAUGGCUUUGCGGUGCAUUAGCUAGUUGGUGGGGUAAAGGCCCACCAAGGCGACGAUGCAUAGCCGACCUGAGAGGGUGAUCGGCCACACUGGGACUGAGACACGGCCCAGGCUCCUACGGGAGGCAGCAGUAGGGAAUCUUCCGCAAUGGGCGAAAGCCUGACGGAGCAACGCCGCGUGAGUGAAGAAGGAUUUCGGUUCGUAAAGCUCUGUUGUUAGGGAAGAAUGGAUAUGUAGUAACUAUACAUGUAAGAGACGGUACCUAACCAGAAAGCCACGGCUAACUACGUG